rnacentral:rRNA from 1 species
GAUGAACGCUAGCUACAGGCUUAACACAUGCAAGUCGCGGGGCAGCAUGGGGGUUGCUUGCACUCCCCGAUGGCGACCGGCGCACGGGUGAGUAACGCGUAUCCAACCUGCCCUUCACCACGGGAUAACCCGGCGAAAGUCGGACUAAUACCGUAUGUUGUCCAUUGACGGCAUCCGAUUUGGACGAAAGGUUUGGCGGUGAAGGAUGGGGAUGCGUCCGAUUAGCUGGACGGCGGGGUGACGGCCCACCGUGGCGACGAUCGGGAGGGGUUCGUGGGGGGAGGGCCCCCAGACGGGGACCGGGAACACGGUCAAACUGCUACGGGAAGGAGGAGGUAGGGAGGAUGGGGAAGGGGAGGUAGCCCGAACCAGGCAAGUAGCGUGCAGGAUGACGGCCCUAUGGGUUGUAAACUGCUUUUAUGCGGGGAUAAAGUGGCCCACGUGUGGGUUUUUGCAGGUACCGCAUGAAUAAGGACCGGCUAAUUCCGUG